UACAGGGGGGAGCAAGCGUUGUUCGGAAUUACUGGGCGUAAAGGGCUCGUAGGCGGCCAACUAAGUCCGACGUGAAAUCCCAAAGCUUAACUUUGGAACUGCGUCGGAUACUGGAUGGCUUGAAUUCGGGAGAGGGAUGCAGAAUUCCAGGUGUAGCGGUGAAAUGCGUAGAUAUCUGGAGGAAUACCGGUGGCGAAGGCGGCAUCCUGGACCGACAUUGACGCUGAGGAGCGAAAGCUAGGGGAGCAAACGGG
rnacentral:rRNA from 1 species